rnacentral:rRNA from 1 species
GACGAACGCUGGCGGCGCGCUUAACACAUGCAAGUCGAACGGAAAGGCCUGCUUUCCCUUGUGGAUUGCGGGUACUCGAGUGGCGAACGGGUGAGUAACACGUGAGUGAUCUGCCCCCAACUUGGGUAUAAGCCUGGGAAACUGGGUCUAAUUCCCGAUAGGACUGCAGGGUGGUGACUGUGGUGGAAAACGAUUUUCUAGUGGUUGGGGAUGAGCUCGCGGCCUAUCAGCUUGUUGGUGGGGUAAUGGCCUACCAAGGCGGCGACGGGUAGCCGGCCUGAGGGGGUGGACGGCCACAUUGGGACUGAGAUACGGCCCAGACUCCUACGGGAGGCAGCAGUGGGGAAUAUUGCACAAUGGGCGGAAGCCUGAUGCAGCGACGCCGCGUGGGGGAUGACGGCCUUCGGGUUGUAAACUCCUUUCGACCGCGAGGAAGCCACCUGGUUGGAAGGGUGGUGACGGUAGUGGUAGAAGAAGCACCGGCUAACUACGUG